rnacentral:ncRNA from 1 species
ACCCAUAUCCACGGGGGCUCUCACGGACCGAGGGCUGAGAUGGCGACAGGCGGUCGCCGACCGGACGAACCUGACCGGGUAAUGCCGGCGUAGGGAGAACAUCAUGGCCAGAA